rnacentral:rRNA from 1 species
CUUGAGCUAAUACCGGAUAAGUCCGCGAGGAGAAAGAUUUAUCGCCGAAGGAUUGGCCCGCGUCUGAUUAGCUAGUUGGUGAGGUAACGGCUCACCAAGGCGACGAUCAGUAGCUGGUCUGAGAGGAUGACCAGCCACACUGGGACUGAGACACGGCCCAGACUCCUACGGGAGGCAGCAGUGGGGAAUAUUGGACAAUGGGCGCAAGCCUGAUCCAGCCAUGCCGCGUGAGUGAUGAAGGCCUUAGGGUUGUAAAGCUCUUUUACUCGGGAAGAUAAUGACGGUACCGAGAGAAUAAGCCCCGGCUAACUUCGUGCCAGCAGCCGCGGUAAUACGAAGGGGGCUAGCGUUGUUCGGAUUUACUGGGCGUAAAGCGCACGUAGGCGGAUCUUUAAGUCAGGGGUGAAAUCCCGAGGCUCAACCUCGGAACUGCCUUUGAUACUGGGGAUCUUGAGUCCGGAAGAGGUGAGUGGAACUGCGAGUGUAGAGGUGAAAUUCGUAGAUAUUCGCAAGAACACCAGUGGCGAAGGCGGCUCAC